CCCUUAGAUGUUCGGGGCCGCACGCGCGCUACACUGAAGGAAUCAGCACGUCUUUCUCCUUGUCCGAAAGGACUGGGUAACCCGCUGAACCUCCUUCGUGCUAGGGAUUGGGGCUUGUAAUUCUUCCCCAUGAACGAGGAAUUCCCAGUAAGCGCGAGUCAUAAGCUCGCGUUGAUUACGUCCCUGCCCUUUGUACACACCGCCCGUCGCUACUACCGAUUGGAUGGUUUAGUGAGAUCCUCGGAUUGGUCCCGGAGCGGCCUCUGGUCGUGCCGGAGUGCCGAAAAGAAUGUCGAACUUGAUCAUCUAGAGGAGGUAAAAGUCGUAACA
rnacentral:rRNA from 1 species